rnacentral:rRNA from 1 species
CAUUAUUGAAUCAACCUGAUAGGCUGUUGCUGGCUUCUAGGAGCAUGUGCACGCCUGUCAUCUUUAUCCAUCCACCUGUGCACCUUUUGUAGUCUUGGAGUAAUGAGUGUAAAACCUAUCGAGGAACAACUUUGGUCCUCGGAUGGAGGCCUGCCAUGCGAUAGUGUGGCUGACCUUAUUACUUGCGCAAGUUCUCUGAGUCUAUGUUUUUCAUAUACCACGCAAAAUGUAAUAGAAUGUUUUUAUUGGGCCCUAGUGCGUAUAAAAUGAAAUACAACUUUCAGCAACGGAUCUCUUGGCUCUCGCAUCGAUGAAGAACGCAGCGAAAUGCGAUAAGUAAUGUGAAUUGCAGAAUUCAGUGAAUCAUCGAAUCUUUGAACGCACCUUGCGCUCCUUGGUAUUCCGAGGAGCAUGCCUGUUUGAGUGUCAUUUAAUUCUCAACCCCUCUAGCUUUUUGUGGCUGGCUUGGUGGCUUGGAUGUGGGGGAUUCUUGCGGGCCUCUUUAGAGGUCAGCUCCCCUGAAAUGCAUUAGUAGAACUGUUUGCGGAACUGUUCACUGGUGUGAUAAUUAUCAUCACCGAAGACAGCCGCUCUCAUGUAGUUCUGCUUCUAAUCGUCCUAUUUCAUGGACAAUAAUGUUUGAAUGCUUGACCUCAAAUCAGGUAGGACUACCCGCUGAACUUAAGCAUAUCAAUAAGCGGAGGAAAAGAAACUAACAAGGAUUCCCCUAGUAACUGCGAGUGAAGCGGGAAAAGCUCAAAUUUAAAAUCUGGCGGUCUUUGGCCGUCCGAGUUGUAAUCUAGAGAAGCGUCACCCGCGCUGGACCGUGUACAAGUCUCCUGGGAUGGAGCGUCAUAGAGGGUGAGAAUCCCGUCUCUGACACGGACUACCAGGGCUUUGUGGUGCGCUCUCAAAGAGUCGAGUUGUUUGGGAAUGCAGCUCUAAACGGGUGGUAAAUUCCAUCUAAAGCUAAAUAUUGGCGAGAGACCGAUAGCGAACAAGUACCGUGAGGGAAAGAUGAAAAGAACUUUGGAAAGAGAGUUAAACAGUACGUGAAAUUGCUGAAAGGGAAACGCUUGAAGUCAGUCGCGUUGGCCGGGGAUCAGCCUCGCUCUUGCGUGGUGUACUUCCUGGUUGACGGGUCAGCAUCAAUUUUGACCGCUGGAAAAAGAUUUAGGGAAUGUGGCAUCUUCGGAUGUGUUAUAGCCCUUUUUCAUAUACAGCGGUUGGGAUUGAGGAACUCAGCACGCCGCAAGGCCGGGUUUCGACCACGUUCGUGCUUAGGAUGCUGGCAUAAUGGCUUUAAUCGACCCGUCUUGAAACACGGACCAAGGAGUCUAACAUGCCUGCGAGUGUUUGGGUGGAAAACCCGAGCGCGUAAUGAAAGUGAAAGUUGAGAUCCCUGUCGCGGGGAGCAUCGACGCCCGGACCAGAACUUUUGGGACGGAUCUGCGGUAGAGCAUGUAUGUUGGGACCCGAAAGAUGGUGAACUAUGCCUGAAUAGGGUGAAGCCAGAGGAAACUCUGGUGGAGGCUCGUAGCGAUUCUGACGUGCAAAUCGAUCGUCAAAUUUGGGUAUAGGGGCGAAAGACUAAUCGAACCAUC